CUGGAUUAUCUUUGGGCACCUAAUUUUUGGGUAGGUGUUAAUUUUGCUCAAACUGUCUGUUUUAUUAUUCUAGCAGCCCGCUUCGCUUUGGUUCCUAAUUUUGCCGGAGAGAUUCACACUGUCAUUCAUAUUAUGAAUAUAGUUCAUAACCAGUAUUCUCUUUUAUCUAAUUAUAUGUACAGAAAGGAGUACUCUGAAGUGAAUUCAUGCUAUGUUAACAGUCUAACAAACAUCUUGGAGGUGUGAAUGCUUUCUUGGGUCUGACAAGUAAUCAAUAAUUGAUGGUAUACUGGGAUUUUUCUCAUACUUCUAGCACUUCCUCAUUGACAAUAAAGCAAGUACUAUCACAACAAAGGCUGUUACCUCCAGGUAUUUUUUUUUCAACUAUAAUCCUUCCAGCUUUAGGGACUGCUCAAUUGGAUCUGCACAAUCCAACAAAAUAAAUGUUCAUAGUGUCUGCGACACUUUCUUCCUAUCAUCACGAAGGUAGUUGUAGGAGUGAAAAAGUAUGUCAUACUGUUUUUUCAGUUCAAGCCAAAAGGCUAGGAUAGGUAAUACUUGUUUUUACAGUACUUGUGCAAAAAGUAUGUCAUAUUGUUUGUUCUAGAUGAUUUUGAUGAAUUUUACAACCUUAUUUUCAGUUGUAUACCCCAAGAAAUGGUCUGCUUUCAUGGGGCUUAUUGAAUCCAGGAAAUAACUGUGAGUAGUAGCGAACCAGACAUGAAAAGUUUCAGAGAACUACGAAAACUCUGGUCAGUUUUGUCGGGAUCUUGUGACACAGUUCCAGGACUCUAUUGACUAAGGUAAUGAUAUAUAUGUGUGAUUUAUCCUGUUAAAACUUUUAGUGUUCACUUAGGGGUGAGUGCAACUAGUAACUGAAUUUAGACUACGAACUAGAGUAUGACAGUAAAGUCAGGAGCAUGAUGGAGAACACAUGGGACAUUGAGGACUAAUGGUCAACACUUAAAUCUUGCUUUACAUAUAGUUCAGUUCCAAGUAGUCUGAUACAUAGAUGGCGAGGGGAGUGCUGAUUUGGGGUUGAUUUUGGUAAUUAUAUAUUUUCCUUGAUGACUGUCAUUUUGUUGUCUUACAUGUGCUAUAUGAUAUGCAUAACAACUUGAGAGCACCUUUGCUUCUCUUGAUGUAAUUCCAUUAUAGGGCCGUGCGUUGAACAUGCUUCUUUGAUGAUAAGUAACAGACUUCUUCCUCCAAUGGCUGAAACAAGCUUUGUGAUUUACUCCUCUAAUUCUCUUUUGACAUGCUGAUUAAUUCCUAGCAAUUUUCUAGAGUAAAUCCAUUCCCCUGCCACCUAUAAUGGAAUUUCACAUGUUUUACUUGCAUGAACCAAACAUAUAUGUGCGCUGACUACAGGCCAAAGCCUAAAGAAUUCCUUGAACAUCAAAUACAUAUAGAAUGCACAACACAUAUUAGUACAAUGCCCGUGCGAUAAUUUUCUUGUAAUUUAGAAUGCACAAUACAUAAAGAGUUCCUGUAUAUAUACUCUUACGCUGUGAUAAUUUUCUUGAUAUCUUUUUAAUGCCAGCCUCUUUCAGUUAGUACAAUGAUCAAGGAUCUCAUUUGAGUAUGGGUUUGCACAUCUGAGUGCUGGUGAUCUUCUUCGUGAAGAAGUUAAAGUGAUAUGGAGCAGGUAACAGUCUUCUUUCAGUUUCUGUAAAUAUAUUCUUACGUUGUAAUAAUUGUCUUGAUAUCUUUUUAAUGCCAGCCUCUUUCAGUUAGUACAAUGAUCAAGGAUCUCAUGUAUGAAGGAAAGCUUGUGCCUUUUGAGAUCAUUGUCAUGCUAAUUAGUAAAGAACAUGCUUGUGGUUGGAAACAAUAUGUUUCUGAUUGAUGGAUUUCCGCAAAAUGAAUAACUUCCAAUCAUACGAGAAUAUUUAAGAAUGCUUCUAUGUACAUUCGAUAGUGCCAAUAGCAGAUCAAUCUCUUGUUGUGUGCUUCACACAUGUGCAUUUGUUUAACAGAUUAAAAUUGACCAUGAGUUCGUACUAUUAAUUGAAGGCUCAAGGGAAGAGACAGCGGCAUAUUCUUCGUUGAAAUCAGG
rnacentral:lncRNA from 1 species